AAACACUUAGAGAAAAAAUAAAGUUAACAGCUGAAAUAGCAGGAAAUAAUACAGUUAAAGAGCAGAUUGUAGAAGAAAGAAACCCCUAGGUUAAACUGGUCUGUCUACUGCAUAAUGCUGAACUCUAACAUGUGUCCUCAGGGAAGGACCUGAUUGGUGUCCAGAACCUGCUGAAGAAGCACGAGGCUCUGCAGGCUGAGAUCACAGGUCAUGAACCUCGCAUCAAGGCUGUCACCCAGAAAGGAGAGACCAUAAUGGAGGAAGGUAGAGCAGGUCUGGUCCUGACAUGUUUCUGAGGUGUCUGCAGGUUCUGGCUCACUUUGUUUGGGUCCAGGUCACUUCGCUGGUUCAGAACCCUCGGCCCGUCAGAACAUUCUUAUCCACCACGUUCUAACACCAGACCUGUUAACCCGACAGCAACAAGUGGCUCCAACUGACGAUGAGACCGGGAAGGAGCUGGUUCUGGCUCUGUACGACUACCAGGAGAAGAGUCCUGGAGAGGUCACCAUGAAGAAGGGCGACAUCCUCACGCUGCUCAACAGCACCAACAAGGUUGUUUUACUUGAACUCGCGUCUUUAGCUGAAUGAGGAUGGAGAGACGGGUCGGACCUGGAGCAGGUCGAGGUCUUGCAGAAGAAGUUUGAUGACUUCCAGAAGGACCUGAAGGCCAACGAGUCCCGCCUGAGGGACAUCAACAAGGUGGCAUCUGAACUGGAGUCAGAAGGUCUGAUGGCUGAGGAGGCUCCUAUGGUUCAGGCUCAGCAACAAGAACAUCUGGGUUCUGCUCCUGGAAAGGAUGAAGCCGACUCUAACCCCGGCUUUCCACAGGAGUUGUCAGCAGCACGUUACUGCAGCAGCACGUCAUAGCUGCUGAUAGGAACCGCUGUGGUCAACAGAACCUUUUCCACUGGAGCCGUCGGCAGCGAGAGUCGGCCGCGUCUCAGGAGCAGCAUGUCGCGGCCUUUACGCGCCGGUUCUAUUUUCUACGCGCGACGCCUCUGAAACGGGUCAAGUUCGACAUUUUUGGGGAAGGAAAGACAGGAAAUCGGACGCGGAAAUUGAGAGAAGCUACCGAGAUUUUCAGAAUAAAGAACGUACUGCCUUCCGGUUGCUUUACUUUUAAAAACAGUUACUAACUGUGCGGCCCCGUGAGAAGUUAUCACCUAGCUAGCGGUCUCCUUUGUUUUUCAGGUCCGUAUUGGCGAUUAUAAAAUGGACAGAACAUAAAACACAAACCAUGUUGUAGUUUUCUCCUGCUUGUUGUUGUGUUUACUGACGAAGUCACUCGUGUGACUUCGUGCUCGGUCGGUGACAGCUGCUCCCCUGCUGCUUCGCGUCUCGUGGGAAGGGCCAAGCAGCAGCUUACGCGAGCAAGACGUGCUGCUGCAGUAACGUGCUGCUGACGGCUCCCGUGGAAACCCGGGGUAACACGGCGUCACCCUAGAAGGUGAGUUCAUUCAGCUGAUCAGAGGUCACCUCUGAUGGCCGCAGUCACGGCCGACCGUGCUGACAUCACACAGGAAUUCAGGUGACCCGGCAGGCACCAGGUGCUGGUGAAAGUGGGGACAUGUCAGCUGGUUGCCAUGGCUACAGUUAUCUUUAUGCAUCUGUAUGACUGCUGACUGGUGUGUGUUUCCUGUGACCUUUGACCUCAGACCGUACGGUUGGGCGUUCAGACGACGGCUAACUUUAAUUACAUCAAGGUAAGAGGAAGCUCUUCCCUUCCUGUCUGAGCGAUCCGUCUCCAGGUUUCCUUGUCCGGCGUCCAGCCCGCUGGCGUCCACCUUCAUCUCACUGGGUUUGGUUUCUCUCCAGGAGCUGAACAACUGCUGGCGCUCGCUGCAACAGCUGGCUGAAGACUGGAGCAACAUGCUGGGCAGCGGCCAUGAGGUGCAGCGCUUCCACAGAGAUGCUGAUGAGACCAAAGAGUGGAUCGAGGAGAAGAACCAGGCCCUGAACACAGACAACUACGGCCACCACCUGGCCAGCGUUCAGGCUCUGCAGUGUGAACAGGAAGGCUUUGAGCGUGACCUGCCAGCUCUGGGUGAUAAGGUCCGCUUCCUGAUUGGUACCAGGACCCGGGUUGUCUCUGGAGACACGUUCUUCAUGGUUCUGGUGACUCCACCCCAGCCGUUCCUGAUCAGCAAUCAGCGGGGUGCUUUCCUAUUUAAGGAUUCCUGUCGACCUCAUUGGAUACUGACCUCUACUCCAGGAUUUGGAUAUUCAACACACGGACCUUAUCACCAGCCUCCAUAACCCACCUCUCAUCUCACCCAGUGCCCCAUCCACCAGGACGCCCCGCUUCUCUCCACCUCUGCUCCCUCUCCUGCGCUUCCUCUCUACCUCUCUCUCCUCCAGCCAACACAUACACCCACCACAACGCUGAGCUGUUGUUGCAGUUCCAACCACAGACUUAUCUGUGCACCUUAAGUUCCUCCUUAUAAAUAAAUCAUUUUUUCCAUCAGUUUUUGGUCAGUGUUGUAUUCUGCAUGUCUUGGGUUAAGUACCUUCCUCCAAACAUGACACUCCUCUUCAAAGAGCAAAUCUGUUCAGCACAUUCUGACAGACAGACCACCAUUCUUCUGUCAUGAUGCUGUACAGGACAUUUUUAGAGUUUUUCUUUUUAAAGAUAAAUAGGAUUACAUUUAAAUAGCAAUACUUUCACAUUAUCAUUUUCCCACACUUCUGUAUAACUGUAUUUUGUUGUUUUUCAAUAAAGAAUGACAAAUUA